AUUGAACGCUGGCGGCAGGCCUAACACCUGCAAGUCGAACGAGUGGCGGACGGGUGAGUAAUGUCUGGGAAACUGCCCGAUGGAGGGGGAUAACUACUGGAAACGGUAGCUAAUACCGCAUACCAUCGGAUGUGCCCAGAGGCGAUUAGAUAGUAGGUGGGGUAAUGGCUCACCUAGGCGACGAUCCCUAGCUGGUCUGAGAGGAGGACCAGCCACACUGGAACUGGGACACGGUCCAGACUCCUACGGGAGGCAGCAGUGGGGAAUAUUGCACAAUGGGCGCAAGCCUGAUGCAGCCAGGCCGCGUGUAUGAAGAAGGCCUUCGGGUUGUAAAGUACUGUCAGCGGGGAGGCGUUACCCGCAGAAGAAGCACCGGCUAACUCCGUGCCAGCAGCCGCGGUAAGUC
rnacentral:rRNA from 1 species